CAGCAAAUCACUGUGAAUGCAUAAAAUCCAAGAAACUCACCAGCCACUUGGUGACCAUUUGCCAAUAGAACAGGAGGCAGCAUUCAUGGAACACCCGAUAUUUCUAGCUACUGUUCCCUUGGGUGUAAACACCAUGUGACAGUGGGGUUGAGCUGACCGGAAAUCAUGUCAGUUUCCAAUUGCAGGCUGGCUCCUGCCAGCUGUGCUCUUCUCUGUCCAGACUUGCACCAUGGCACCAUGGCAUUACAAGAGUGGCCACUUCGAUGAGCACAGAGAAUGUCCUCAUUGGCCCCAGAAGCAGCUCUGGUGUAAAAUCACCACUCAGCAUCUGAGGGAGGAAAUGGUUUAACAAACCAAUGGGCUGACAGUUUCUGCUGCUCGCUCAGGGGAAGUGAAAUGAGGUAAAGCAAAAGUGCAUUGUUCUCCAGCAAGACAACGAUCCUACUGGGAGCCGUGGAACAAGUGUCUGCAGCCCAAACAUUGCAACACUUGGGCUAGUGCAUGAAAACCUCAAAGUGACCAGAAACAGACGUGGAAGUGAAGGUGUGUAUUUUCAUUACUUGCAUUUAUUCAGGGUGGAUAAAUGGCAUAAAUGAAGAAUGAAUUUGAAUUUUGAAAUUCUGUCUUCAUCAUUUAGGUUGUUAUUAGUGACAGAGGCAAGGACACUUGUUACAUAAGGUUUGUUUUCUGAACAAUGUAAAUGCUUGGGUGUAUGUCUGACGUGUAUGCACAUUUAAUGCAACUGUGUAUGCAAACUAGAAAAUUACAUAUGCAACUAGAUGAUUGAACGUGCAGUUGCAAUCGCAUAUAUGUAAAACCAUGAUCCGGGCAACAAUUUACAUUCUAUACUGUAAUAAAAUACAAGCUUGUGUACUAUCAGGGCUUAAAUUAAACUCAUCUUCUUUAAACCCCAGGCCCAUUGUUUUUAGCCUACUGUUUUUUCUUUUAAAUUAAACCCGAUGUGAGCCUUUUAGGAAAGCAUCAAACAUCGAAGGCAAAGCCCAGAUUACACAUUUAGUCAAUGUAACCUCAAUAAUAGACUAGUCAAGGUAUUAUAUUGAUAGCAUUGAAACCUUUUUAAAUUGGGGAUGUGAAAAAAUUUCUACACUAUAUUGCCUAUUUUAAAAAUUGUUUUAAAAUCUUGAAUGUUACCAUAAUAACCCAGCCUUAGAAAGCUUCCUUAUUCCUUUUAAACCCCUUUGAGAGUCCCCUAAAGAUAUCCGAAGAGAUUUUCUCCUUCCCCCUGCCCAGCAAUAGGGAGCAGCUGGGUCUAUUUAAAAUUGAUUUUGAUCUCUCCAAGCAGGAUUUGAUUUCUCCGCACACUGAGCUUUUGCCUGAAGAGAGUGCACAGUAGAGCAGAAAUUCUGAGAUGUCAGCUGGCGUGGCAAGAGUCGAAGAGAAAAUGAGCAGCUCACUCUGUGCCCACUGGCAUAAGCAUGAGACGGCGACACGGGCAAAGUGAUUGUCAAUGUGACAGUGGUUGGAGUUUGCUGGCCGUAUACAAUUAAAACAGAAUAAAACCCUCUUCCUGCUGAGCUCCAGAUCACAGAUGGUCCCAAUGGGGUGCAGCAGCAUAAGAAAUGCUCAUGCAAAAGCCUGAGGUCUGUCCAUGCACAGACUCUUUGGAAGGCAGAACGUGCCACUAAUGUGAGUUGAAAAGAGGGGACUUAUUGUUCAAAAGAAGCAUUCCACCCACCCCUUUCUAACACUGCUCGCAAUGGGCCUGGACCUGGGAAAAUAUGGGGAAACUGAAGCACAGAGUGAUUACAUGACUUGUCCAAGGUCACACACGAAGUCUGGAGUGACACCAGAUCCUCCAAGUCCCAGUUCAGUGCCUUACCUCCACUGUCACCUUCUCUCUUAUUCUAGGUGUUCAGCAUCUUGUAGAAUCAGACACAAACUUAACACCAGUAUUCUUAAAUAUCUGAAAAGUUGAAUAUUGAGCAACAAGUUUCAGGAGCAGUGGACUUUCAGAGAAGACUACAUUCUCCAAGCUGUGAUAGAAGAUGUGUGGGUGCGUGGAGGGAAUCCAAGUAAUAUUUGGAAAUAUUAAAAUACAGUGUAUAUUGUUUGGUAUUGCUUUAGAUGUCUGAGUUUUUUCAGGACAGGGAAUGUGAGGGAAGUCAGAAAUGAAAGGGGUGGGGUGUAGGAAUGAGAUACCAUUAAGAGUUCUAGCCAACCACAAAUUUGCUAUUCAGUUUACCAGCCUGUAGUUUAUUAUGUAUGGUAUGUGAAGGAACCUAUUUAGCCAAAAGGGAAAUGCCUUUUGUGUUAAGAGUGACCCUAAUCUAAUAUGGCCUUUUGACUUGACUCAAUUAAAUCCUUUCUGUUUCAAUUAAAUAAUCAGCCACAAUUUAAUAAAAUGAAUUUCCGUG